AGAGUUUGUCCACGGGAGUGGUCCGCGGUCCACGAGUGUAGUCCAUGGACCAGGUCCACGAAGGUGGUCCACGGACCUGGGGUCCGCGUUUUGUCGUUUCCCCACGGCAAGGGUUACAUUGUGUAUUGUACGACUAGAAUCAGUGGUAAAUAAGUCAGAAAUACAAGUGAUUAAUACGGCGCCGGCUGUUGAAACUUUGCAUAUCUCACUGACACAAAUCCGAGCGAAAUUGCCUAAAAUAACGCUGCAAAAGUUUAGAGGAAACGUUAUGAAUUGGAAUCAACAGUAUUUCGAAAGUCGACAAAAUUAUUUGAACUAUUUAUUUUCGCAUAAAUGCUCGAUCAGUUCAAGGAUUGACUUUAACCGAAGCAAAUUACGACGCGGCCAUUGCUAUUCUCGAGGAAAGAUUUGGUCGACCACAAAUUAUUGCCGCUCAUAUGGAUGAGCUUCUUAAGGUCCAACCUUGUUCAAACAAACGGUCAUCAUCUACACGCAUAAAAAUCUCACAACUUGUCAACAAGAUGUGUUCGCAACAGGUUUGUAACAAGCUUGUGAACAAGUUGUAACAAUGCUGUCAUUUCAUCAAGUUGCUACAAGGUUGCCACUCGCAACUUGUUGACAAAUUGUUGAAUUGCAGGACGAUAACAAGUUGUUGGAACAACUUGUAACAAGUCUGUUGAAUUCAACAAUCUUGUAGCAAGUUGUCAACAAGCCGUUAACAACUUGUCAACAAGCUGGGAAGUAGUAAUAGGAAGAAAGUAUAGGGAAAAAAAGGGGGGGGGGGAGUGUGAACCAAUUUUAAAAUAGUAUAAAAAUAUAUGAAAAUAUGUACCGGAAAAAUGUACGGAAAGGGUGAUACUAGUACAUAUUGGACGGGGGGAGUUUUGCAAGGGCGUUACCCCAUAAGUAAUAAGGGUUGCGCAUGCGUGUACAGUACUUUCAUUUUUACCUCCGCACACAUUGCGCAUAUAUUGCAAAUAUUAAAAAUAAACACAGAAUAAUCCACGUGACAGUCUUACAUUUAUUUUGUAAAUUCAUCAUUAGUAUAAAUAAUAUGAAACAUAGUAUUUUAUCGCUUAUAACCCGGAAAUGACGUGGGUAAAAGUUUAUUUUUUAAGAAUUACUUUGGUUUAUUAUAUUUUACAUUUAAUCACAUAGUGUUUUUAUAGACUAUUUUAACCGGAAAUGAC